AAGUAAUACUGGGAACACUGAAGUCUAGAAGGAAGUUGUAUUUUCUUUCUUUGAUUUCACAGUAAAAUAGGGAUUAUAGAGAGAUGUACUAUAACCUGUUAUAAUAUAUACUAAAUAUUUUUAAAAGAAUACUUUUAAUACCCUGCUGUUAAACAGAAUUCCUGACAGGAUUUCAAAAUAAUUGCAGACAACAAUUGCCCAUGAGCAUAAGAGAAGAGGAGAAAGCAAUCCUCUCUGCUUCCAGUAUACCCUUUUUGGGCCUUUAGCUAUCUACACAUUCGGAGAUUAUCUCAGCUGCAGAUGACUGCCUUGCCUCCUUCCCUCCUGAGAGAGUGUAAACACAAUGAUGGGAUCCCUCAUGACCAGCCAACUCAGAGAAACUUGUGGAAAUGGCAUCAAAUGGUCCUGCGAAGAAUUUCAUUCCUUCCGUGCUUGCUGAGAAUAUACUAAGUCCCAAGUAAACCAGACAUCACGUCAUCGGUGUGUCAUCAAAGCGGUGCCAGACUUCCUGCUAUCCCUGGGAAGGAGUCAGUGGCUAGUGAGAACACAAGAAGGAGGUCGCUCAGGAAAGUCAGCUAAAGUGUAUUCAAGCCAGCAAAGUGCUACAGCCAUGGAUCCAACAUAGAAAAUUAGCUUUGCCUAGAAGAGAUGUGGUAGUUUUUGAAUACAGCUCCUAGCAAGUCUUGGAUUUCCAUCAUUGAUUGAUUCUUUGGUUAAAAAUUUCAAGCAUAU